rnacentral:rRNA from 1 species
UCUAGUAGCUGGUUCCCUCCGAAGUUUCCCUCAGGAUAGCUGGUGCAUUUAAAAAUUAUGUAAAAUAAUCUUAUCUGGUAAAGCGAAUGAUUAGAGGCCUUAGGGUCGAAACGACCUUAACCUAUUCUCAAACUUUAAAUGGGUAAGAACCACACCUUUCUUGGUAUGAAGGUGUGGUUGUGAUAUAAUGUGCCCAGUGGGCCACUUUUGGUAAGCAGAACUGGCGCUGUGGGAUGAACCAAACGUAAUGUUACGGUGCCCAAAUUGACAACUCAUGCAGAUACCAUGAAAGGCGUUGGUUGCUUAAAACAGCAGGACGGUGGACAUGGAAGUCGUAAUCCGCUAAGGAGUGUGUAACAACUCACCUGCCGAAGCAACUAGCCCUUAAAAUGGAUGGCGCUUAAGUUGUAUACCUAUACAUUACCGCUAAAGUAAAUGGUUUAUAUUCAAUUUCGGUUGGAUUUUAAACUUUGAAACUUUAGUGAGUAGGAGGGUACAAUGGUGUGCAUGGAAGUGUUUGGCGUAAGCCUGCAUGGAGCCGCCAUUGGCACAGAUCUUGGUGGUAGUAGCAAAUAAUCGAAUGAGACCUUGGAGGACUGAAGUGGAGAAGGGUUUCGUGUGAACAGUGGUUGAUCACGAGUUAGUCGGUCCUAAGUUCAAGGCGAAAGCUGAAAAUUUUCAAGUUAUAAUUGACAAUUGCAAAAUUGUGUGAUUAAACACUUGAAUAAUUUUGAACGAAAGGGAGUACGGUUCCAAUUCCGUAACCUGUUGAGUAUCCGUUUGUUAUUAAAUAUGGGCCUUGUGCUCAUCCUGGCAACAGGAACGACCAUAAAGAAGCCGUCGAGAGGUAUCGGAAGAGUUUUCUUUUCUGUUUUAUAGUCGUACUACCAUGGAAGUCUUUCGAAGAGAGAUAUGGUAGAUGGACUAGAAGAGCAUGACAUUUACUGUUGUGUCGAUAUUUUCUCCUCGGACCUUGAAAAUUUAUGGUGGGGUCACGCAAACUUCUCAACAGGCCGUACCAAUAU